CACACAACGUCUAGAAGUCAUAGGUAUCCUGUGUCACAUGUUGAUUUUCAUCUGAGAGAUCUAGCUCUUUACUAGGGUAGACCGUCACUGUUAUUUAAUUGUAUAAGCUAUGUGUAUUUUAUGACCAAAAGUAGUCAGGACAAAGCUGGUGUCUAGUCAGAUGUUCCAGUCGUUUACUUUGAAGGUCGAUAUAGAUUUUUAUGUUAACGCCAGAGUUUACUCUUGACUUUUAUUUUGAAGACGAAGUCUGGGGAUUUGGAAGUCGGAACUAGGCCAGUGACGUCUGAGCUCCUGGACCAUGGCUUCGAUCCCAGUGCUGCACCGACAGGUCACCAGUUGCUUUUACCGGCUGUGUAUUAGAAUGUUUCACCGCUGUCAAGCAGCAGUUCUGCAAGCGUGGUUCAGCGGGGCCUGGCUUGGUCACCCCAAGAUGUCACCGGAGCAGAGGGGCAGCCAGAGUUCUCCCGGGCCUAGAUAGGAGGGUUCUUCCAGGAGAGACCAGUGCUGAAGAACCCCUUCCUGGAGGACGCUCUGCUACAGGGAUACCUGAGGAGACACCUUCCCAGUGAGACGGUGUAUUCAGACCUGUGUGUGUUUGGGGAGCAGUUGGUGCGUGAGGUAGAUGGGUGGGGUCGUGAGUGAGAGGUUGGUUGGUGACCAAUGAUCCCUGGGGUUGCCAUGUCGAACGCAUCGUCACCUCCCCCGCCUGGCUACACAUGAAGAACCUAUCAGCACAGGAGGGGCUGGUCGCCAUCAGAUACGAGAGGACCUAUGUGGAGUGGCGGUGGGAGACACCUGACCCUUACACACACUGAAACCACACCUAUUAACCCAGCUUUUCCCAAACCUGUCCUGGGGACCCCAAGAGGGCAACAUUUAGGUUUUUGUCCUAGCACUACACACCUGAUUCCACUUAUCAACUCAUCAUCAAACCUUUAUGGAAUCAGGUGUGCAAUCCUAGGACAAAAACAAACAUGUGUACCCCUUUGGGUCCUCAGGACAAGGAUUAAGAAAUUCUGCCCUGUGCAUAAAUUCACUUGAUGGUCACCAACACAGAGAAUAUAAAAACAGUAACAGUGACAGUAAUUUCAGAAGCUACUCAUUGGAAUUUUGUGGCAUGGCAUUAUGAAAAUUUCAUGCAUAGAGAGUUACAUAUUCAUACACUAAUGAUGAUGUUGUUCCAGUCGUGUAUACCAGAUGUGUAAGCUGUACCUGUACUCUCCCUCCUCUGGUCUCUACGCCUGUCCUCUGGCUAUGACUGAUGGAGCUGCCAAGGUUAUACAAGUGUGUGUGUCUGUCUAUCUUUUUGUCUGUCUGUCUGAAUUUACUUUAAUGGAACUGAUUAUUACUGCUCAUGUAACAGUAUAACUUUAAACCGUCCCCUCGCCCCGACACGGGCGCGAACCAGGGACCCUCUGCACACAUCAACAACUGACACCCACGAAGCGUC